CACAAGCGGUGGAGCAUGUGGUUUAAUUCGAUGAUACGCGAAGAACCUUACCUGGGCUUGAACUGUGCAUGACCGGCGUAGAGAUACGUCUUUCCUUCGGGACAUGUAUACAGGUGGUGCAUGGUUGUCGUCAGCUCGUGUCGUGAGAUGUUGGGUUAAGUCCCGCAACGAGCGCAACCCUUGUCUUCAGUUACCAUCAUUCAGUUGGGGACUCUGGAGAGACUGCCGGUGACAAACCGGAGGAAGGUGGGGAUGACGUCAAAUCAUCAUGCCCCUUAUGACCUGGGCUACACACGUACUACAAUGGCGUAUACAACGGAAAGCGAAAUGGUGACAUGGAGCAAAUCUCACAAAGUACGUCUCAGUUCGGAUUGAAGUCUGCAACUCGACUUCAUGAAGUCGGAAUCGCUAGUAAUCGCGGAUCAGCAUGCCGCGGUGAAUACGUUCUCGGGCCUU
rnacentral:rRNA from 1 species